UACGUAGGGUGCGAGCGUUGUCCGGAAUUAUUGGGCGUAAAGAGCUCGUAGGCGGUGUGUCACGUCGGCCGUGAAAACCUGCAGCUUAACUGUGGGCGUGCGGUCGAUACGGGCAUCACUGGAGUUCGGCAGGGGAGACUGGAAUUCCUGGUGUAGCGGUGAAAUGCGCAGAUAUCAGGAAGAACACCCGUGGCGAAGGCGGCUCUCUGGUACGUGACUGACGCUGAGACGCGAAAGCGUGGGGAGCAAACAGG
rnacentral:rRNA from 1 species